AACCCCGUAGACUGUGAUAAGUCAACUAUAAAAGCGACCACCACUCGUAAAGCCAUUUGUUCACGAGCACUCCAGAUAAGACGUCAAAAUGAAGACUGCAGUUGUUAUAUUGCUGGUGGCUCUGGUGCUAUCGCUAUCACUGAUUGGAACCAAGGCUUGCACGCCCAACUCCACCUGGAACGAUGGUUGCAAUCAAUGUUUCUGCACCGCAGACGGUCACGCGGCGUGCACUUACAAGUACUGUGGAACCGCAACGCUGCCAUCUCCAUGAACCUCAACGUGGGAGUAGCGCAAUGUAAUAACUAUAAAUCCUCAAUAAACACAUUUGUUACCUACAA